UACGAAGGGGGCUAGCGUUGCUCGGAAUCACUGGGCGUAAAGGGCGCGUAGGCGGCCGAUUAAGUCGGGGGUGAAAGCCUGUGGCUCAACCACAGAAUUGCCUUCGAUACUGGUUGGCUUGAGACCGGAAGAGGACAGCGGAACUGCGAGUGUAGAGGUGAAAUUCGUAGAUAUUCGCAAGAACACCAGUGGCGAAGGCGGCUCACUGGCCCGAUACUGACGCUGAGGCACGAAAGCGUGGGGAGCAAACAGGAGU
rnacentral:rRNA from 1 species